rnacentral:rRNA from 1 species
GAUAAGUAAUGUGAAUUGCAGAAUUCCGUGAAUCAUCGAAUCUUUGAACGCACAUUGCGCCCCCUGGCAUUCCGGGGGGCAUGCCUGUUCGAGCGUCAUUUCAACCCCUCAAGCCCGGCUUGUGUGAUGGACGACCGUCCCCCCUCCCCAGUAACCAC